GUUAAAGGGAAGUUCUGCAACCACUUCCGCUCACUUUUUCUGUCGCAUCUUUGCGGUUCGGCUGGCAGAACUUGCGCCCAGCGCUCACCAGCAGACCCGAUGGGAAAAGUAGAAGAAGGGGAAAAGUUUUGGCCUUACUUUGAGCCUUCGACUGGAAAAAAGCGGCAGUGAAGAAGUCUUGUGACUGGGAUUUGUCCCGCCGCUCUCCCCUCUCCUCCUCCUCCUCCUUCAGCUGGAGCUGCUUAUGUCGACAGCAGUAAACUUGAGGAUAAAAUCCUGCGUCAUCCUCCACAGCGGACAAACCUCGGCUUUCACACGGCGCGUAAACACGAAGCGAGCGCGUUUUGAUAUGGUUUAUCUACCCGAACACGACACAUUGGACCUGACUGUAUUUUUCUGUAUUUACCCGUUUUUUUUUUGUUUUUUUUUGCCACUUAAACUGCAACAUGUAAGCUAAGUGUCACGUAAGCGACACACGACUACAACUUCCGGUUUUGUCCUUCAAAUCUCAAAACUGUCGAAUCUGCUUUUCAAUCACAACAUACAUCACACAUUUUACAAUCAUAUAGUCAAUAUCAGAGGUGUGUUCUUACAGAUUUAUUCGUGUCUUGGGAAUGUGAAUCUAAAUCUUUUUCUUUCUUUUCUAAAAAA